CUUUACGGAUCACAUUUAUAUGUGACAUAUCAUUCAAGUUUCUGACCUAUCAGCUUUAGACGGUAAGGUAUUGGCCUACCGUGGCAAUGACGGGUAACGGGGAAUUAGGGUUCGAUUCCGGAGAGGGAGCCUGAGAAACGGCUACCACAUCUAAGGAAGGCAGCAGGCGCGCAAAUUACCCAAUCCUAAUACAGGGAGGUAGUGACAAGAAAUAACAAUACAGGACUUUAAAUAGUUUUGUAAUUGGAAUGAGUUAAGUAUAAACCCCUUUACAAGUAUCAAUUGGAGGGCAAGUCUGGUGCCAGCAGCCGCGGUAAUUCCAGCUCCAAUAGCGUAUAUUAAAGUUGUUGCAGUUAAAAAGCUCGUAGUUGGAUUUCUGUUAAUAAUUUAUAUAUAAUAUUUUAUUAAUAUUUAUAUAGUAUUAACAUAAUUCAUAUUACUAUUUUUUAU
rnacentral:rRNA from 1 species